rnacentral:tRNA from 1 species
GCCUGGGUAGCUCAGUCGGUUAAGCAUCUGACUUUGGCUCAGAUCGCGAUCUCACAGUUUGUGGGUUUGAGCUCCGCAUUGGGCU